AAAAAUAAAUAAUAAUAAUAAUAAUAAAAUAAAUAAAAUAUAAUAGAAAAACUUGGACUUGGACCUCUCUCAUUUGAGCCCACAAAGCCAUGAAAAUCAGGUUAUAAAAGAGGGAGAUCAGACAGAAAAAGGGGGAGAAGCAAAAUACUCUGGGGUUUCCUUGAAACAAAACCCUGGACAAAACCUGAAGAGAAACCUGACAGAGAACUCAGAGCAACCCCCAGGCAGCAAAAAAAAAUACAAUCUGAC
rnacentral:lncRNA from 1 species